UACGUAGGGGGCAAGCGUUGUCCGGAAUCAUUGGGCGUAAAGCGCGCGUAGGCGGCCCGGUAAGUCCGUUGUGAAAGUCAAAGGCUCAACCUUUGAAUGCCGACGGAUACUGCCGGGCUAGAGUACGGAAGAGGCGAGUGGAAUUCCUGGUGUAGCGGUGGAAUGCGCAGAUAUCAGGAGGAACACCGAUAGCGAAGGCAGCGCGCUGGGACGUUACUGACGCUGAGGCGCGAAAGCGUGGGGAGCGAACAGG
rnacentral:rRNA from 1 species